AGCUGUCAAAUGCUAGCUGUAUGACUUUAAGGACAUUAUUUAACCACUUAUAAGUCUCUGUCUUUAAGAUCUGAAAAAUACAGAUAAUAAUACUCACAUGAUUAGAAAAUCUAGAAAUUAUGGGUGUAUAUAUCUCACACAGUCCACUGCGAAGAAUAUUUGGUCAAUGAAUGGUAGCAAUUAUCCUCAAGAAGGUUACCAUCUAGGAAGGGAAGUAAGACAAAUAAGGAAAUCAUUGCAAUAUGUGAUGUGCCUUGAAAAUACAAAGAAGGCCCAAGGAACAGUCAGCAAAAUGGCCAAAAAAAAAAAAAAUGGCAAGCAGACUGGAAUACAAAGGACAUGUAGGAAUUGCUGAUAGCUGUUCCGGAAUGGUGGGCUGCUGGUCUACUCCAGAGGGUCCUACGUGCCAGGGAAGCAGGGGCUAGCCAUAGAAGGCUUGAGGCAAAGAGUAACAUCCUCACAGCUGAGUCUGCAGAAGGUUGAUAGUAAUCUAAUGUCUGUCACAAUGAGGUUAAGAGACUAUCGCCAGGAUAGCUGGGCAGUAAGCACAGAGGACGGCAAAGGAAGGAUGGAUAGAAAGCACGGAGAAACUAUAAAAACAAAGUCGAGAAUGAAACUUCCUAAGACUGGAGACAGUGUUAGAUUACAAAUGAACGACCUGAGACUAAGGGAGGUUACAAUGUGCUUGGGGUUAUAAAACCCAACCAAAUCAGCAGUUGUAGGACUGGGCUCCAAGGUUCCUGACUUGGGAUCUCAUAAUAUCCCUUCUCCACCAAAGGAAGAGUUUAACCCAACUUUUGCCUACCAUAUAAACACUAAAUAGGUGCAGGUUCCUAGGAAAAAAAGAAACUUUGUGACUUACUUUCUAGUAUGCCAGGAGCUAGAAGGGAAAUACUGUGACAAAAUAUUCCUCUGUAAGCCCAUUCACUGUGAGUAGUAGAAAGGGCAUUAUACUUAGAAGGAAAUGAAAUCCCAAGUGUGCUUCAUUUUGAAACCCCUGUGAGAUUUAUAAGAGCUUAACUUUUAGUUGACAUGAAAUAUUUUUUUCCUCUGGCAUCUUAGAAAAGCCGGCAAUUUCAGAGGUGAUAUUUUGACAAAUAGUAGCCUAGCUCAGGACAAAUGACAGGAAGCUCAUAAAAUAUACUUUCACUAGAACAAAGGCAAAUAAUGAUGUAAUCCCCUGAAGCUAUAUGUUUGGGAUGGAAACGUUAUAUUGUUGGGAAUUAUAGGAAAAAUAAUAUUGGAAGAAGACCAAUGCUCUCUGAGGUCCCUGUCCGAUGGGGGCGUGGGGAAGGAUAAUGCCAUGAUAUGUGGAAUAAUAUGGUUCAGAAAAAAGAAGGUGCCCAUUGAACUGAGACUGUGUUUGAUUAUCAUAGAAGAGAUGAAACACUUUUUCAUAGUCAGAAAAAUCAAUAUACAGCCGAAGAAGAGAAGCUGUUUGAUGAUAAGGCAAUAAAAACUUCAAAGGGUAACUUAAAAAUGUUUCCUAAUUCAUUUCAGCCUAAAAAAUGAUCCCUGUGCCCGUCUCACGCAGUCUGCCAACUCUUUCACUGGAAUAUGUUAGCCAGUCUCCUUGGAAUCAUUGCCGGGUCUCCUUGGAAUGGAAAUUGUGUCAAACUCCGGGGAGCGGCAGUUUCCAUCACCAAUUGAUUUGAGUUCGCAAGGCUGGCAUUAGGAUAUUUAUUCCCUCCUAGGACUGGGGUUGCAAUUUUGAUGGCCCUCCGCUAAAUGCGAUGGUAAGAUAGCGUGUCUGCGUUCACACAGGCUGUAAUCAAAGGAGCCAAAGGAGUCUGCUGAAGGUCGGGCAACCCUCUGGUACCGUUGUCUUUCAUGUGGUAAUUCAAUGACAGAAAAUGCUCCCAUCUUUUGGUUCCACUGUCUCAACACCAGGCCUCUUUGGAAAGCAUGGAACUCAUACAAUCCUCUUCAGUGCUUUUGCCAGGAAAUGACAUGUCACUUCUGCACACACCUACUUGAUCAGAACACAUGAUCCCAUCUAACUUGGAGAGGUCUGGGAAGUAUAGUGUUCCAUGUACCCGGAGGAAAAGGAGAAACAAAUCUUGGUCACUGGCCUGCCUGCUAUUGGGAGCGUUGCACCACUUGGAACCCCCAUGGCUUCCCCAUCUAUCCCAGCUGAAGGCAGAAUGUUCUUUCUUCAAAUUAAAUCUUACGCGGAUGCCCGGUAUCGAAAGCAGAUGAACAUGGCACUGUGGACAAGUUCCCUCAUACCGUCAUGAUCACCCUCAGGAGCCUUCAUGAACUCAAACGCUUCUCAGGACAUGGACUGGAAACCACUAACAUACAGGAUUCUGAAGGGGAAGAAGAAGCCAAAAUGUUUGCGGCUCAUUUCAACAGCUGUUUCACUCAGUAAUUAUAACUUUAUUCCCAUGACCUGCCUCUGAACCCCAGCUUCCUGGAUCCUAUUCAGAGCAAGGGAUGGGGGUGACCUGUAGUAAAGUUGGCUGCCCAUCCCAUCACUCAAUUUCUUCUCCAAGUUUUUCCCCAAUUUCCUGCUCUUGUAAAUUCUGGGAGCCUCUCGUCCAAGGAUCUAGAUUCCAGUUCUAGUUCUGUUCUUUCAGCCGUAUGUAGGGAUUAUAUGCACUCCCAGAACACUUGAUUUCAUCCUGGUUGACGGAAAGAGUAAUAUCUACUCUUCCUGUUGUGAAGAUGAAAAUCGAAGCUCAUUGUAUAGAAGGGUUGUGUGGAUUAUGUCAUCUAUAUGCUUUUUAAGUUGUAUCGAAUACAUACACACAUACUGCUGGAGACAAGAGAUAGAUCACCAAAGAAGUUUGGCUGGACUAUAAUCAUCAUUCUUAAGAUCUUAACGGUUCUGGAACUACACAAAAAAGAUACAAAUUUAGGAGGAAAUGACCUGCUUUUUAUUUUCAGCAUCCUCCCAGUGUUACACAGAAUUGACCUAUAAAUUCCAGUCCCAGAUCUCAGCACGUGCUAGAGGGAAAUUUAAGAAAGAUGGACAUCCUCUCUGGUAAUGUGCCACAGAGAAGAGGAUGCUCGCCAAACCCCGGUCUCUGGUAGCACCAGGAAACCUGAAUUUCGGGAGACUAGUGUAGCAUGUUUGAGCAAGCGCAUAUUUGAGGCUACAGACAGAGCAAGGCAGGUUUCUGCAUCUCUCCUGGGCUAACAGUGUGAAUAUUGCAAUAGGACCCUUGUUGGCCUCAGUGAAUUUAAGCAGCAGCUCUUAGGAUCCUGGGGAGAAGGUUGAUGAGGAUUGGCAGUGGCAAAAAGGGACACCUGCUAGGACAGUAAUCUAAGGCAGGUAUUGAUCCCAUGGAGCAAUAUUAGCACUUUCCUAUCCAUCUGCAAGGCAGCCUCAGAGUCUCUUUCACCACAGCAUUCUAAGAAAAUGCUUCCCAGGAGUGAGAAGAGACAUAUGAGCCAUUUCUUUUUCUUUUUUUGUUUAUAGGUUUUUUUUUUUUUUUAAAUAAACACAUAAUGUAUUUUUAUCCCCAGGGGUACAGGUCUGUGAAUCGCCAGGUUCACACACUUCACAACACUCACCAUAGCACAUACCCUCCCCAAUGUCCAUCACCCCAGAGCCAUUUCUGAUCUAGUUCAGUCCCUGCCCCCAUCCUCACCCCACCAUCAUUCUUUGACUAAGGAAACGGAAACCAAGGGACCAGGAGAAGCACAUGCCCUGAGCUGUGCUGCCUCUGGACCUUCUCAGGGCUGGAAACCCGUCAGCACAUCUCCUUUCCAGAGUGUUCCUGUAUGACAUCUCCCCUCCCUUUUAUGUCUUCCUUCAAGGCAGAGUUGCCCGUCUGCUAAGAUCUGGGUACACUCUACUUGCCCAUGCUGAAGUCAUUGAGCCCAUCGUCAGAUUACUGAGAGGUGAGCUGCAGGGAGGUCCCCAGUUCCACAGAGGGUGGUGGUAAGGAUAGGAAACCGCAGGGCUUUAGAAGGGAGGGAAAACCGAACGACUCAACAGACGGGAUUGUCAAUGACAUGGACUUGGGAAGGCUGAGAAGUGACUUUUAUAAUCUUGUAUGAAGUUGGCAACAACAGCUGGCUCUACCCCGAGUAUUUUUGAUAACUUCUUAGUUUGCUAAGCUUCCUGGUGAUUUGGAGUAGUGGUUCAACCCAAGGGCUGUGCAGCCGUUUUCCGUGAGUCACUGCCCAGAGGGCCCCCGUGUGAGGCUGCUGGACGGGGGCCAGGCUUUCUCCUCUCCCAGCCUCUGCCCAGAUGCACUGUUGUGUCCUUUUGCUCGUCCACUCCCUACUUGUCUCCACUCCUGAGAUUGCUUCCCCUCUUCCCAGGCUGCCAGUGCCUGCCUUGACCUGCCCUAUUUCCUCCCUCCUCUCCCAGAAGAGCUUUUCUCUUCCCGGGCCCUCUGUUCUCACUCCCCCUCUCUUUGCCAUAAUCUGUCUCUUUCCAUUUGUUCCCUUCCUGAGUUUCACCCUUCCUGAUUCAUACCCAGUUGUCUCUUAUAUUUCUUUCUCUAGCCACUUGCUCUUUUUAUUUAUUUUUAAAGAUUUCAUUCAUUCAUUCAUUCAUUCAUUCAUUUUAAACUUAAAGUGUGCAUGAGGGGAGGAGCAGAGUGAGCGGGACAAGCAGACUCUGUGCUGAGCACAGAGCCCAAUGCCAGGCUCAAUUUCACUGACAUGGGAUCAUGACCUGAGCCUACACAGCCCCAGGAACCAGUUGGGAAAUGUACAAACCUAGUGCAUACCCGGUUCAGCAGUGACCCAUAUUACUCAACAAUAUAAAUACCAGCCAUUCACUUUUACCUUUUAAAAUUAAAUAGACAAAGCACACAUGUCUGGAACUAAAGCAUAAAUAAAUGUUAACGCAAAGAUUUGGUAAUGCAAA